AUAUCAGUCGAGCGGAAGGCCCUUCGGGGUACUCGAGCGGCGAACGGGUGAGUAACACGUGAGCAACCUGCCCCAAGCUUUGGGAUAACCCCGGGAAACCGGGGCUAAUACCGGAUAGGACUGCUGGCCGCAUGGCUGGUGGUGGAAAGUUUUUCGGCUUGGGAUGGGCUCGCGGCCUAUCAGCUUGUUGGUGGGGUGAUGGCCUACCAAGGCGACGACGGGUAGCCGGCCUGAGAGGGCGACCGGCCACACUGGGACUGAGACACGGCCCAGACUCCUACGGGAGGCAGCAGUGGGGAAUAUUGCACAAUGGGCGGAAGCCUGAUGCAGCGACGCCGCGUGAGGGAUGACGGCCUUCGGGUUGUAAACCUCUUUCAGCAGGGACGAAGCGGAAGUGACGGUACCUGCAGAAGAAGCGCCGGCCAACUACGUGCCAGCCG
rnacentral:rRNA from 1 species